GCAAACCACUACAACGGUAACCUGCACUUUGCUGUAUGUGGCUGAAGAUGGACAGAUAUUCACCUCCACUUGGGACUAUGAUCACAACGACUGUGAGGAGAAUGAGGAGCGCCUUAACCCAGAGGAGUUGGAGGUGCCCUUUAUUUGCUGCCAUCUUUCAGACAGAGGGGUGACUGAAAUCGGCCUGAAGGUGCCCUUGCUUCGUG